rnacentral:lncRNA from 1 species
AUAAAAAUCAAAGUCUAUCUUUUAGGUCUCAUGUUCCCUCUUUUCUCUUCUAGGCUAAAUGUGGUGACCCAGAUCCCUGCAUUUUGAUAGCCUGAUACAACCGGCUCAUUACUGAUAAACUCAGGUGAAGCCUUCUUUCUUUCAGUUAGCGACAGUGCUAAAAGCUGGUAAACUGGAUGGACAAUCGGCUUUGAAGAUGAGUCAGCUAUGAGGAGGCUCUGAGGUUUCGGUUUCACCUUGAAAACAUCCUCUCUGAACAUCAGAAGUGCACUUUAUCCCUGAACGGUAUAUUAACUUCUAAAAUUUCUGACUUCCAGUCAUGAGAAUUUCAAAACCAAUUGCAUAUAGCAGUGAGGCUUUUCACUUUUAAUAGUGCAUUUGGGAGGCCAGUUUUUUCCUAUUUUCUAUGCUAUCUU